rnacentral:rRNA from 1 species
GACGAACGCUGGCGGCGUGCUUAACACAUGCAAGUCGAACGGAAAGGCCCUGCUUUUUUGGGGUUCUCGAUUGGCGAACGGGUGAGUAACACGUGAGUAACCUGCCCUUGACUUUGGGAUAACUUCAGGAAACUUGGGCUAAUACCGGAUAGGAUCUCCUGCUGCAUGGUGGGUUUUGGCAAUUUUCGGCGGUUGGGGAUGGACUCGCGGCUUAUCAGCUUGUUGGUGGGGUAGUGGCUUACCAAGGCUUUGACGGGUAGCCGGCAUGAGAGGGUGACCGGCCACAUUGGGACUGAGAUACGGCCCAGACUCCUACGGGAGGCAGCAGCGGGGAAUAUUGCACAAUGGGCGGAAGCCUGAUGCAGCAACGCCGCGUGCGGGAUGACGGCCUUCGGGUUGUAAACCGCUUUCGCCUGUGACGAAGCGUGAGUGACGGUAAUGGGUAAAGAAGCACCGGCUAACUACGUG